GGAUGCUACUGUGGUCUAGGCUCCAAAAAUGCUCCUCCUCCUCCCGGAACCCUCACCUCCUAGAAUCCAUGCCCUUGUAUAUACUCUCCCUGAACUGAAUCAGGGCUUUCUGUGUGACCAAUAGCAUAAGAUGGGGAGAACAGUGUGUGAUUUAUGAAACUGUCAUAAAGGGCAUUGUGGCUUCUGCUGUGGCCUUUUGGAUUGCUUGCUCCGGGGGACCCCAGCAGCCACGUCAUGAGAAUACUCAAGUAUCCCUGGGGAGAGGUCCUCAUGAAGAGAAACUAAGGCCUCCUGCCAACAGCCAUGUGAGUGCGCCAUCUUGGAAUCAGAUCCUCCAGCUCCAGUCAGACCUUCAGUUGACUGCAGCCCCAGCCAACAUCUGACCUUAACUUCAUGAGAGACCUGAGCCCCAUCCAGCCAGCCAGGCUGCUCCUGAAUUCCUGACCCGCUGGAACUGUGAGAGAUGAUAAUUGUUCACUGAUGUUUUAAAUCACUAAGUUUUGGAGUAACUUGUUAUGCAGCGGUAGAUAACUAGUAUACUGGUGCUGAGAGCCGUCCCUCCUUCCCUCUUUAAUUCCUUCUGGUGUGAAGAAUACUCUAACCACUGCAUAAGCUAAAUCUCCCAAACGGAAAUCUUUCCUAAUUUGGGAACCAAGUUGGGGGCCUGGAAUUUAGACCAAGGUCUCAAGGAAUAUAGAAACCCCUCUUUCCUUGGCCCCAGGACACCUGAUGCCACCCCAUUUGGGUGGCCUCUGGACACAUUUCCUGCUCUUCUGAAUGAGUUUUCCAAGUCCCAUAAUCCAUUUUGAAUGUACUAAUAGCACCUGUGGGCACAUAGCAGGUGUUAAAUAAAUAUUAUUUGCUGUCUUGGUCCAGUUCUUCCAGAAAGUAGAACCCAAGAAAGGAUUAACAUUCUAAUAAUUUAGUUAAAAGUUGAGAGGCAAGAGCAAUGGAGAUGAGGGAAAAAAAGAAAGUGAGACAAGAGAAGUCAUGCAAUGGAACACACUGACGGCCUCUGCUCAAGGAGAGCAGAGAGGGAACAGCAGGUUCGCUGAGCAUGGGGCUUCUCUGGAAAGGCUGCAAGGAGGAAUCAUGAUCCAGUGCCCUUCACAGGAGAAAGGGAGGUGGAGGAAUUUAUCCGCCCUGCUCCCACCUUCUAUCUCCUAGGUCCAUAUGCAUCCCCUGGGGAAUUAGCGCCUCUGGUUUAUCCAACCCCUGAUGGCUGCUCAGGAAGUCAGAUCCCACAGCCCAUGGUGAGGUUCAGUGGAGGGCAUCCCAGAGCGAGUGGGGCACCAGCAGGGGAGAAAACAAAGUCAUUGAGCAACCUGAGAAGACAUACAAGAUGUGUGUCCCCCGCAGGUCCCUUCUUGGUCCCUUUUCUAAUUCCUCAGGUACUAACUUGCCAGCACAGCCAUGGGAAGGCCUGGAUUCUCCUGUUGACUGCAUCCGUUCCUCAAAUGUGUAGUGUGGGUGGAGAUACAGUGACGCUGCAUGUUAAUGUGAGCCGACCCUUGCAGGCUUCACGACAGAUGGACACACUCAAAUCCCGGCAUGCAAAGUGCAAGACUUCCUCUUUCUUCAGCCGCCUAGGAGGGAGAUCUUAGCUCUCAGCGGAGGGGUCUCUGAGACAGUAGCAUUCACCCACUGGCUUAGAAAAUGCAAUUUAAUGGAAUAGAACUGGAGCUUUUGAGCCGUCACCAGGCUGUUUUAGACAAAAUUAAAAGGCCCUAAAGCGCUUGUUUUUUUGCUAAGAAGAGAAGUGUUUCCUCUCAAGAGUUCUCCAAACUUCUUAGAAGCAAACCUGGGAAAGUGGCUGUGAGCAGGAGAUGGAGGCCCCAUCAGUCCCUCAGAAUUCCGGUGUGAUAAGAGGAACAGUCCAGCGCUCACUAACAGAGGAGGAUGGAUGAUUGGAUGGAUGGGCGAUCAAGGAAAUCAUUGCUGUGGGUUUUUACUGUCUUGAAUCAGUCUCUCCAACGUGCAUUUUUCCUGUCCCUGACACAGCCACCCGCUCCGAUCCCCCAUCCUUCUGGCUUGUUAUCAGUUCCACACUGUCUCUUUGCAUUAAAGUGACAAGAAGCAGCACAAAGCUGACGACAGGAGGCUAGAGCUGUAAUUUGCACUGACAUUCACUGGUGUUAUCCACUUAUUGCCUGGUUGCUCAGGGCCCUCAAAGGACUCUGGGAGAACUAAGUGCCCCUGGGAAGUCAGACCCCAGCUGAAAACACCUCAGCAGCUCUCCUUCUGCCUCCCCAAUCCCUCUCUUGAAACUCUCCCAGCUGUAAGAGAAGCGAGGCUGAAUGACAGGCUCCUGAGCAGCAGCAUCAAGCAGUCAGCCUGUGGGCAUGGCCUGCUGCUCAGUUUACAAGGCCCAGGACAAGAUGAAAACAUGGGACCCCUUGUUCAAAAAAGCAGGAAAAAGUGUCAUUAAAGGUAC
rnacentral:lncRNA from 1 species